UACGAAGGGUGCAAGCGUUACUCGGAAUUACUGGGCGUAAAGCGUGCGUAGGUGGUUUGUUAAGUCUGUUGUGAAAGCCCCGGGCUCAACCUGGGAAUGGCAAUGGAUACUGGCAGGCUAGAGUGCGGUAGAGGGUAGUGGAAUUCCCGGUGUAGCGGUGAAAUGCGUAGAGAUCGGGAGGAACAUCAGUGGCGAAAGCGACUUCCUGGACCAGUACCGACGUCAGGCACGAAAGCGUGGGGAGCAAACAGG
rnacentral:rRNA from 1 species